rnacentral:sRNA from 1 species
GGACUGAGGGCGAUGGCUGCUGUGGCCGUGGCUGUUCGCGAGGACUCGGGAUCCGGGAUGAAGGCGGAGCUUCCCCCUGGGCCUGGGGUAAGUGAGGCUUCCCUCCCAAGCCGCCUGCCAAGCGCUACGCAGGAGGCUGUGCCAGCUUUAUUCCGCCCCAGCUCCCAUCCCGUGUCGGUUUAUUUCUCAGUAAAGCCAGGAGAUUUUACAGAGGUCUUGCAACCCUAGCGAUAUAUGAUUCUGUCCCUGGAGGAGAAACGUCAGCCUCUGUGGAUGUAAGCUUGUAACAGGUAGCUUGUGGAAGUUAGGAAGAACUAGGGAUUUAACCAUGUGGAAAUCUUGUAAGCAUCCAAUAGUAUUUGUUCCCCUUUGGAAUUGUUGGGGAAGAGCAGUAUCCUAUGUCUGUGUCUCAGGCAGUGGGGAGGGAAAUGACCAAAGAAGAAAAGCUGCAGCUUCGGAAGGAAAAGAAACAGCAGAAGAAGAAACGGAAGGAAGAAAAGGGGGCAGAACCAGAAACUGGCUCUGCUGUAUGUGCAGCCCAAUGUCAAGGCCCAACCAGAGAACUGCCAGAAUCGGGCAUUCAGUUGGGCACUCCUGGGGAGAAAGUUCCAGCUGGUCGGAGUAAGGCCGAACUUCGGGCUGAGCGUCGAGCCAAGCAGGAGGCUGAGCGGGCCCUGAAACAGUCAAGAAAAGGGGAACAAGGAGGACCACCUCCUAAGGCCAGCCCCAGCACAGCUGGAGAAACCCCCUCAGGUAUCUUCCCUUCAUUUUAAGACCUCCCUUACUCCUAAUUAUAACGCCAGCUCAGGCUGCCCAAUAGUAAAACAGCUCUCCCCUCUCAUUCUUGGGACCCAGAGUUCUGAGUUGUUCCUGCAACCCCAUUAUCCUAUCCCUAUUUCCUUUUCUACCCUAUUCUCCCGUUUUCUCCACCUCAUCCUGUUUUUCUUGAUGCCCCUUAUACCCUAAGAGCAAAUUACACAUUUCAAGACCUACAGUGUCCUGAAAACAUGAUGAUUAUCUUUCAGGAGUGAAGCGUCUCCCUGAGUAUCCUCAGGUUGAUGACCUACUUCUGAGAAGGCUUGUUAAAAA